CUGUUUCGAUAUUUAACGUAAAAUGCCGAAAGAUAAAACAUCGAACUAUUCGAGACUUUUUUGUCCGAGUUUGGCGAUCAGGUUUUUUCGAUUGAUGCAAGUAUUCUGUUUUGCAAAUUGUGCGAAUGUAAAGUUAAUAGUGACAAAAAGUUUAACGUUACUCAACACUUAAAAACGGAAAAACAUUUAAAGCCAUUAAAAGAGAGCAAAAUAAAAUUGAAAUACAAUUAUUAUAUGUCAAUGUUCAUAGAUAAAAUCUCAAGGCAAAACGAAAAAUGAAAAAAUUCGACAGUUGAUAUUAGAUUAGAUUUUGAAUCCGAUGAAAAUUUUCCGACCAACACUACAGCAUAUUGUUUGAUUGUAUACGAUAAAAUAUUUGAAUACAUCCCUAUGACAAACGA